UACAGAGGGGGCAAGCGUUGUUCGGAAUUACUGGGCGUAAAGGGCGCGUAGGCGGCCUUCUAAGUCGAACGUGAAAUCCCUGGGCUCAACCCAGGAACUGCGUCCGAUACUGGAAGGCUUGAAUCCGGGAGAGGGAUGCGGAAUUCCAGGUGUAGCGGUGAAAUGCGUAGAUAUCUGGAGGAACACCGGUGGCGAAGGCGGCAUCCUGGACCGGUAUUGACGCUGAGGCGCGAAGGCGUGGGGAGCGAACGGG
rnacentral:rRNA from 1 species